CUACGGGAGGCAGCAGUGGGGAAUAUUGGGCAAUGGGCGCAAGCCUGAUCCUGCCAUGCCGCGUGAGUGACGAAGGCCUUAGGGUUGGAAAGGUCUUUUGGCGGGGACGAUAAUGACGGUACCCGCAGAAUAAGCCCCGGCUAACUUCGUGCCAGCAGCCGCGGUAAU
rnacentral:rRNA from 1 species